AAGGAGACUGCCCUGAGUGGAUAAAGUGAAGUAUUAGUCAGGUUAGUGUUAGAGAAAGGAAAAACUCUCCAGGUCCCAUCCACAUUGCUCCCAUGCCCUCCGUAAUCGAGAGCGCAUCCUCUCUCCAGGGCCCUGCACAGAUUCAGCAGCACGGCCACUCCCCUUCUCUGGAGAGGUCACUGCCGCUUGCGUUGCUUUACGAAUUGAAGGGGGAGGAAAGUUAUCUAAGGGAUCCCGUUUAUGAUUUUUCUACUCGUCUUUCCUUUUUCUUUUGAACUUCGUCUCCUUCUUGUGAGGAAGUUUUUUCUUCUUUUUGCACCCAUUAAGUGACAGAAGCCAAUUCUGUUUCAGAAAAAGGACUCUUACUGUUUACAUAUAAAUUGAAGGUCUGACAGGCCCAACCUUUGUCAGUCCCCUAUUUUGGUCAAAAUAAUGAUUUUGCCUGUAGUGGCUCUCUAGGCUAUGUCUGUAUACAGUAUUUAAACAUCUUUUCCCUACUUUUGGGAUUAUUUCCCAUUUCUGAAGCCUCUUUCCCAAGGGGCUAUCUCUAGGCAUGAACUUGGGGACCCUUUUCCUCUGUUCUAUGGGAGCUCCUAUUCCCCAUUCCUCCAGAACGCUGCUGUGAACUCCCCAGCUCACAGGUUACCACUCUCUGAUUCUCGGAUUUAGGGCCGAUCCCUCCGGAGCACCUUGCUCCGAUUCCCGGAUUCAAUAGGGGUGUACUGCUGGCACUUUGUCAAGCGUCCAGGGUACCGCACACCACCAGCUCCCUCCUGAGACUCACCCGAGUCCCCCCGACCCCCAAGGCAAGAAUCAAAUUCCCUUACCUUGGUCCGUGCAUGAAGUUACCGGGUCUGCAGGGGUCGAUACCGUGCCUACCUGCCCCUUGGCUUUCACAGAGCCUGUCUUUGCGUAACAGUCUCGGUUUCCUAUCCCUAACCCUAACCCUAGAGGCCAUCCCAAGGAAUCUCCUCACCACCUAGACAGGACCGCUAAAAUCAGCGGGGUGCACCUAUCCUGUCCAGGGCAGCAAAGGAGGCGAUAAUGAUCCCGGACGAGCCCCCAAAUUGUUGGAAAUAUCCAAACAGUUUAUCAGGCCGGUAUCUCUGACCAAGCAGAUUUUAUUUGCGAUUGCAGUGGCGGGCCUCCUGCACGCAGGAGAGCAUGCAGAAAACAGCCUUACAUCGUUUAUGCCCUAUUACUCGACGCUUCUCUCUUUCUCCCCUGGCUCCUCAUUGGCUCAGUACUUCAGGUUCACAAUCUUCCUGACGCUCAACUAAACACACAGAUACUGGCGAACCAUAAAUUUUUGCUCGCUAAGCAAAUCUCGCUAAUGAGUUAACUUUUCACAUUUGCUCAUUCAACAUUCAGUCAUUGUUUCUGGACAUCUGCUCGUCCUUGCAUGGAGAUAAGCUUGGAAGGAGGAUAGGGCAGAGUAUCUUGAUGCCUGCCUGGGUUGCAUCCCAGCCUACCCACAGAGCAAGGCAAUUCAGCCUUGUGUGGAGGCCCUGGCUUCUUUGAUGUUUGUGAAGUCUGUUUUUCUUUUGCUGAGGGUCUCUUAUCCAAGCAGAACAGCCCCACAAUAUGCUUUCUAGUCCAUAAUACUAUACCUAUACUGUUUGGAACAUUUAGAAACUACUACAGUUUACGAGCAAGAAGUAAUCACACAAUUCAGCAACGGUAUUUCUAAGGUGUGUUACUAACAUAUAUGCUAUUCCUACUUUUUCACAUCAGCUAUUUCUAAGGACAAGUUACAAAAUACAAACGUAUUUUGCUCUACUUCUUCAGAUCAGAUCUUCCCCCUUUUUAAUAUCUAACGCAGAAACAACAUUCCAUUCCUACGCCCGUGUGCCCUGGUGGGCCUGUUUAGAUUAGGAUCUCGUGAAGGCAGAGAGUCUGAGCUCAGAGAAUUCCUCUAGGAAUGAGAUGAGAUGUUACCUACUCUCUGAGCCUUCAGUGGUAUUCCAGAGCUGGGGUUUGUGAAUGGAGGACGGUACGUAGCCUCUGAAUUAUUCCUGCUCACAAAAUUCAGCCCAUGCUAAAACCUCCUGGUUCAUAAGCGUAUGAACUUGAUCAGACAUAGACCAUAUGUUUAUUUAGAACGAGACUGUGUAUAUUAUCCCCCACACAGACCCAGCUUUAUCCCACAGACCAGGAGUAGCGCGAUGACUGAUGUAGAUCGGGGAUUGUGGCAUGUAUUUAACACCACUGCGUGCCUUUUUGUUUGUAGGGCCCCUCUCUCUCUCUGUGCAGAAUGAUUACUCCUCAAAGCGUCGUUCUUCUGUGAGGCUCUUCAUUGUGGUUCUCAGUGCCAGCCCUGGCUGUGCACUCUGCCGUUUGAGUUUGUACCAGGUAUACGUAUGCUGUCUGAAAUGCGGAGAGACAGAUCUCCAAAAACCUUGGAACUAGCAGCUCACGCCAGCAUAUUAUUACAGGCUGGUCCCGGCUUUCUAGGGAGAGCAAGGCUGCUGCCACUGCGAGUUUCUCCACGUCACUUGGGCGCCGCUGCUGCAUGUGCGCGUUGUUGCUGAACGCUUGGUGAAACAGAGCAGAGUCUGGUCCUUUAGGAUGCGAGUGGGCGCUGAUGGCAGUAGAAGACACUGUAGUCAUCAAGGUGUCUUCAGCGCAAGAACCUCUGGGGGGCUGAGGUGCAUCCUGCCUCAUCACUGGUGGCUGUUACCCUGACGUCAGAAAAGGCUGUCAAAUGGACAAAAGUGCUUCAUGGAAUCACUCUCCCUCUUCACUGCUCCACCUGCCCCUUUCUGCAUUGACGGUCCUAAUCACACAUUGGUCUUGGUGCUCCUGAGGCCAAAGGUGAACCCAGCAGGGCAUGGGCACCACUGACUUAUACUGCCUUCCUCUCCUGCUGGCUCCUGCACGCUUCCCGGUGGGACAGGAUGGUCCUCAGGUGCCUCUCCAUUGAGUCUAUUUCAGCCUAUAUGUGUCGGAGCAAGUCAGAAACAUUGAUGUCAUCCUUUCCCCGAUGCUCUGUUCUUAUGGAGGCUGAGGCUGUUGCUCCCAUUUCCCGGAAGUGACAGAACGUGGGCACACUGAAAGGGAUGGAGACUCAUUUUGCAGAGCAUUGCCCUACAGAGCAAGCCCCUGCAGGGCUCCCAGCACCUCAGUGCAUCUGAUGCAUCUCAGUAGCUCAUCUGUCCCCAUAGUCGUCUUCCUCUUCUCCAGAGGCCAGGGGCAAUGCUCUGCAGGCUCAGGAUGCCAGUGUGCUUCAAGACAUCCAUGAGGAUCCAGGUUACAUAUCUUUGGGCAAGACUGUCCCAGAGGUGGCCCAGGGUGGGGUGCAAGCUGAAGACUUUCUGCUUGGGGCCGGGGGACUGCUGAUCUGGGUCCUUUGGAGUGACAACCUUGCUGACCCUGUGCUGGAUCCAUCUGAGGUGUUCAGAAAGCCUCAGCUGGCCAGAAGGGCCAGUUGGAGGCACAGCACGGGGCAUUAAUGCACAGCUGCUGCUCAUGGGAUGCCGUCAUUUCUUCCCCAUCCUCAGUAGUUACGUGGCAGGUAGGUACACCAAGUCAGCAGAGCCAAUUGAAGGCACGGUGAUGGGUAUCAAAGAGCAGCUGCUGCUUACGUGGCAUGCCCUCUUUUGGUCCCCAUCCGCCGUUGUUACAUGGCAGGUGGAUAGAGAGAGCCAGCAGGGCCAGUUGAAGGCACGGUGCUGGGUAUCAAUGAGCAGCUGCACCUCAAGAACCACCGGCAUUUUGUUGCCAUUCCCACACUGAUGGGACAGCUGGUUAAGCCAUACCAGCAGGGCCCGCUCGAGGUCCUGGUCUCAACUGGAUGCUGCUGCUGAGGAAGGAGUGGCUUUUUGUCCCGAUUACUGCAGACAUGGCGGUAGCCAGAAGGUUUUGGAAAUAAAUAUAUGUGUAUAUCUAC